UACGUAGGGUCCGAGCGUUGUCCGGAAUUAUUGGGCGUAAAGAGCUCGUAGGCGGUCCGUCACGUCGGGAGUGAAAACUCAGGGCUCAACCCUGAGCGUGCUUCCGAUACGGGCGGACUAGAGGUAUGCAGGGGAGAACGGAAUUCCUGGUGUAGCGGUGGAAUGCGCAGAUAUCAGGAGGAACACCGGUGGCGAAGGCGGUUCUCUGGGCAUUACCUGACGCUGAGGAGCGAAAGCAUGGGGAGCGAACAGG
rnacentral:rRNA from 1 species